AUUGAACGCUGGCGGCAGGCCUAACACAUGCAAGUCGAGCGCGCCGAGGACGGGGGAGUAAUGUAUGUGGACCAGCCUGACGGAGGGGGAUGACUACCGGAAAAGGUAGCUAUUACUGCCUAUCCUCAGAUGAACCCAUAUGGGGUUAGCUUGUGGGUGAGGUAACGGAGCACCUAGGCGACGAUCCCUAGCUGGUCUGUGAGGAUGAUCAGCCACCCUGGGACUGAGACACGGCCCGGACUCCUACGGGAGGCAGCAGUGGGGAAUAUUGCACAAUGGGCGCAAGCCUGAUGCAGCCAUGCCGCGUGUAUGAAGAGGGCCUUCGGGUUGUAAAGGACUUUCAGUCGGGAAGCUGUACCGACAGAAGAAGCACCGGCUAACUCCGUGCCAGCAGCCGCGGUAAUUC
rnacentral:rRNA from 1 species